rnacentral:rRNA from 1 species
GACGAACGCUGGCGGCGCGCUUAACACAUGCAAGUCGAACGGAAAGGCCCUGCUUUUGUGGGGUGCUCGAGUGGCGAACGGGUGAGUAACACGUGAGUAACCUGCCCUUGACUUUGGGAUAACUUCAGGAAACUGGGGCUAAUACCGGAUAGGAGCUCCUGCUGCAUAGUGGGGGUUGGAAAGUUUCGGCGGUUGGGGAUGGACUCGCGGCUUAUCAGCUUGUUGGUGGGGUAGUGGCUUACCAAGGCUUUGACGGGUAGCCGGCCUGAGAGGGUGACCGGCCACAUUGGGACUGAGAUACGGCCCAGACUCCUACGGGAGGCAGCAGUGGGGAAUAUUGCACAAUGGGCGGAAGCAUGAUGCAGCAACGCCGCGUGCGGGAUGACGGCCUUCGGGUUGUAAACCGCUUUCGCCUGUGACGAAGCGUGAGUGACGGUAAUGGGUAAAGAAGCACCGGCUAACUACGUG